CCGUGCUAGAUGGGGAGUCAGCGGUGCCCUGUAACCUGCAAUCCGCUAUAGCAGGAUUGAAUUCCUUGCUUAGGCUGCUGCUUGUGAGGCCUGACCCAUAUAAGUGGCGUUGAUAACUGGGUCCCACGCAAUGAAAACUCAUGAAAUCCGUCAGAUCCGGAAGGAAGCAGCGGUAAGUGAAUCUUUUCAUGUGCCGUGGAUCAACCUGGUUUGAGCUAACUGUAUGGGUAACGCUUAUAGGCUGAUAGACGAAGCAAGGUGCACGG
rnacentral:SRP_RNA from 1 species